rnacentral:lncRNA from 1 species
UUGUUCAUACUUACAUCAUAUUAUUCAUACAUCUAGCAUCCCACAAUUCGUAAAUUUAGCUCCCACUUUAUUUUUUUGACAUACUGCUGUCACCGGCCACACCACACGAGUUACCACUAGCACCAACUAUAAACCAUAUCAUCACAUUAAUUUCCAUAUGAAAAGAAAGAUGUAAAACUUUGAAAACAUAUACACCACUUCAUUUUUUCAACUAACCUUUAACCACUACCUAUGUUUGUCCUUAUCAUAAUUUCCUUAUCAUCAACAACAACAUGCAUAACACAUUAAUAAUUAUAAUAGCCUGGACAUAU